UACGUAGGUGGCAAGCGUUGUCCGGAAUUACUGGGUGUAAAGGGAGCGUAGGCGGGAAGUCAAGUUGAAUGUGAAAUCGAUCGGCUCAACCGGUCGCUGCGUUCAAAACUGAUUUUCUUGAGUGAAGUAGAGGCAAGCGGAAUUCCUAGUGUAGCGGUGAAAUGCGUAGAUAUUAGGAGGAACACCAGUGGCGAAGGCGGCUUGCUGGGCUUUAACUGACGCUGAGGCUCGAAAGUGUGGGUAGCAAA
rnacentral:rRNA from 1 species